CUUGUUUUUAGGGAGAAAUCAGCUAUAUCUGUGGUGUACCUUUUGUGUGCUCAGCUCGAUCUUGCAUCUCAGGGAGGAACACCCAGGACGGGACCAGACUAACAGCAGGGGGAGAAGCUGCUGAGAAUACAAGCGGGCCUUGGAUACAGCUGCCGAGGGAACAACAAAGUUCACCCUGAUUCCUUGUGGUCUGCUCUAAGAUCAGGGGGAAAACCCAUCACAGAAGUCCCUGGAUUUCCUGGAAUUUAUAUGAAGAAUUCCAGCUAUUCUAGCCGUCGUUUUCACACACAUAGCUCCUGCCAACAGACUUUGGCCAUCUGGGGGCAGCAGUGGGGGUGGGGUGAGCUCGCUGCAGCCCUAGAGAUCCGGCGUGGGCUUCUCUGCUGACCCUGUGCGCACUCGAGUGCUUUUAAAGAACAGUUUUGGGGCUUCCCUGGUGGCGCAGUGGUUGAGAAUCUGCCUGCCAAUGCAGGGGACACGGGUUCGAGCCCUGGUCUGGGAGGAUCCCACAUGCCACGGAGCAACUGGGCCCGUGAGCCACAACUACUGAGCCUGCGCGUCUGGAGCCUGUGCUCCGCAACAAGAGAGGCCACGACAGUGAAAGGUCCGCGCACCGCGAUGAAGAGUGGCCCCCACUCGCCGCAACUAGAGAAAGCCCUCGCACAGAAACGAAGACCCAACACAGCUAAAAAU